rnacentral:rRNA from 1 species
AGCGUAGACGGUGUGGCAAGUCUGAUGUGAAAGGCAUGGGCUCAACCUGUGGACUGCAUUGGAAACUGUCAUACUUGAGUGCCGGAGGGGUAAGCGGAAUUCCUAGUGUAGCGGUGAAAUGCGUAGAUAUUAGGAGGAACACCGGUGGCGAAGGCGGCUUUCUGGACUGACACUGACGCUGAGGCAAAGCUGGGGAGCAAACA